AAUGCCAGGAAAUGCACGUUUUGAGUAGAUGCACGGACUUCCAACAUCGCACUUCACCAGCCUCUGAACGUGCCGGAGGUCAUUCGUGAAUCGAAGCUCGUUCUGCACCAGUUUGAACCGUAGGAACCUCGGAGCUUCGAUCGGAAAUUUCUCUUCGCUAUCGUAUUUGUGCGAUUGGGACCAUGGAUUCUUACGGAGACCAAGGUGGACAAGAAGCUCUCGAGACAAGAUGGACCGACGAAAUGCUUUUGAGACAGCUGGUUAUGACCUAUCCCGAUUCACUAGAUCUUCGUCCUCUGGGGAAAAGGCGAGUGACCACGAAGGCGGUCGACGCCGACUUAAUCGAGGAGUUAGUUUCCGCUCUCCAAGUCGAAACUGAAGCUAAGGGGAACAAUUGUGCCUUGUUCUGAAAAUACUGCUUGACUCUCGGGAAAACUUUGACUUUCGUGAAUGAAGAAUAAAUCGUCUGGUGCUUUAUUGUGAAGACCUGAAAGCGCUCCCCGUAAC